GAUGAACGCUGGCGGUAUGCUUAACACAUGCAAGUCGAACGGACUCUUCGGAGUUAGUGGCGGACGGGUGAGUAACGCGUGAGAAUCUGGCUUUGGGUUCGGGACAACCACUGGAAACGGUGGCUAAUACCGGAUGUGCCGAGAGGUAAAAGAGAAAUUGCCUGAAGAUGAGCUCGCGUCUGAUUAGCUAGUUGGUGAGGUAAAGGCUCACCAAGGCAGCGAUCAGUAGCUGGUCUGAGAGGAUGACCAGCCACACUGGGACUGAGACACGGCCCAGACUCCUACGGGAGGCGGCAGUGGGGAAUUUUCCGCAAUGGGCGAAAGCCUGACGGAGCAAUACCGCGUGAGGGAAGAAGGCUCUUGGGUUGUAAACCUCUUUUCCUAGGGAAGAACAAAAUGACGGUACCUAAGGAAUCAGCAUCGGCUAACUCCGUG
rnacentral:rRNA from 1 species